rnacentral:rRNA from 1 species
CGAGCGAACGGACGAGAAGCUUGCUUCUCUGAUGUUAGCGGCGGACGGGUGAGUAACACGUGGAUAACCUACCUAUAAGACUGGGAUAACUUCGGGAAACCGGAGCUAAUACCGGAUAAUAUUUUGAACCGCAUGGUUCAAAAGUGAAAGACGGUCUUGCUGUCACUUAUAGAUGGAUCCGCGCUGCAUUAGCUAGUUGGUAAGGUAACGGCUUACCAAGGCAACGAUGCAUAGCCGACCUGAGAGGGUGAUCGGCCACACUGGAACUGAGACACGGUCCAGACUCCUACGGGAGGCAGCAGUAGGGAAUCUUCCGCAAUGGGCGAAAGCCUGACGGAGCAACGCCGCGUGAGUGAUGAAGGUCUUCGGAUCGUAAAACUCUGUUAUUAGGGAAGAACAUAUGUGUAAGUAACUGUGCACAUCUUGACGGUACCUAAUCAGAAAGCCACGGCUAACUACGUGCCAGCAGCCGCGGUAAUACGUAGGUGGCAGGCGUUAUCCGGAAUUAUUGGGCGUAAAGCGCGCGUAGGCGGUUUUUUAAGUCUGAUGUGAAAGCCCACGGCUCAACCGUGGAGGGUCAUUGGAAACUGGAAAACUUGAGUGCAGAAGAGGAAAGUGGAAUUCCAUGUGUAGCGGUGAAAUGCGCAGAGAUAUGGAGGAACACCAGUGGCGAAGGCGACUUUCUGGUCUGUAACUGACGCUGAUGUGCGAAAG